CUCUAUGGCCAUACCACCCUGAACGUGCCCGAUCUUGUUUGAUCUCAGAAGCUAAGCAGGGUCGAGCCUGGUUAGUACUUGGAUGGAAGACCGCCUGGGACUAUUGGGUGCUGUAGGCU
rnacentral:rRNA from 1 species